rnacentral:rRNA from 1 species
UAAAAUAAUUAAGGGCACACAAAGGAUGCCUAGGUAGUAAGAGCCGAUGAAGGACGUGGUAAGCUGCGAUAAGCCUAGAUAAGUUGCAAUCGAACGUAAGAGUCUAGGAUUUCCGAAUGGAGCAAUCUAUUAAGAUGGAGUCUUAAUACGAAAGAGGGAACCGCGUGAACUGAAACAUCUAAGUAACGCGAGGAAAAGAAAGUAAAAACGAUACCCAAAGUAGCGGCGAGCGAACUGGGUCAAGCCUAAACCUUAAAUAUGUCAAGGAUACAGCCGUUGUAUUUAAGGGGUUGAGGGACUAAGUUGUGAAGAACUGUAAGAUAUUCAAUAUAGUGUAUUGAUGAAUUAGAAUUGUAUGGAAAGAUAAACCGUAGAAGGUGAGAGUCCUGUAUAAGUAAAUCCUUACACAUAUAACUUAGCUCCCAAGUAACAUGGAACACGAGGAAUUCUGUGUGAAUCAGUGAGGACCAUAUCUCAUAAGGCUAAAUACUCUUACUAACCGAUAGCGCAUAGUACCGUGAGGGAAAGGUGAAAAGAACCCCUGGAGGGGAGUGAAAUAGAACCUGAAAUUGUGUGCUUACAAGCGGUCAAAGCCCAUUUGGGUGAUGGCGUGCCUUUUGGAGAAUGAUCCUGCGAGUUACGUUAAACGGCGAGGUUAAGUAUAACGGAGCCGAAGGGAAACCAAGUCUUAAUAGGGCGAUAUAGUCGUUUGGCGUAGACGCGAAACCUGGUGAUCUAAACCUGUCCAGGAUGAAGCUGUGGUAAGACACAGUGGAGGUCCUAACCCACCGCCGUUGAAAAGUUGGGGGAUGAGGUAGGUUUAGGGGUGAAAAGCCAAUCGAACCAGGAGAUAGCUCGUUCUCUCCGAAAUGCAUCUAGGUGCAGCCUUGAGUGUUCAAUUAUGGGGGUAGAGCACUGAAUGAUCUAGGGGGCAUAUUGCUUACUGAAAUCAAUCAAACUCCAAAUACCAUAAUUUAUAGCUCAGGAGUGAGACCAUGGGAGUUAACUUCCAUUGUCAAAAGGGAAACAACCCAGACCACCAGCUAAGGUCCCUAAUUAUAACUAAGUGGGAAAGGAGGUGGAGAUUCACAAACAACUAGGAGGUUGGCUUAGAAGCAGCCAUACCUUUAAAGAGUGCGUAAUAGCUCACUAGUCGAGAGUCUCUGCGCCGACAAUGUAACGGGGCUAAGUUAUAAACCGAAGCUGUGGAAUCCUUAUGGAUUGGUAGGAGAGCGUUCUGUAGGCCGUUGAAGAAGAAGGGUAACCAACUUUGGAGGUAUCAGAAGUGAGAAUGCAGGAAUAAGUAGCGAGAAAGGGGGCGAGAAUCCCCCUCGCCGGAAGACCAAGGUUUUCAGGGUAAAGCUUGUCUUCCCUGAGUAAGCCGGGACCUAAGCCCAGGCUAUAAUGCGUAGGCGAAUGGAAAACAGAUUAAUAUUUCUGUGCCAGUCAUUUAUUGUGAUGGAGGGACGCAGAAGGGUAUGUGCGCGGACGAUCGGUUGUGUCCGUAGAAGUAUGUAGGGUGACUUAGUAGGAAAAUCCAUUAAGUUAUAUCUGAGGUAUGAUAUAUAGUUGUAAGACGAAUGUGCAAAUCCCACGCUGCCAAGAAAAACUUCUAGCGUUAAUAUAUGACUGCCCGUACUGUAAACCGACACAGGUGGUCAGGAUGAGAAAUCUAAGGCGGACAGGCUAACUCUCGUUAAGGAACUCUGCAAAAUAACCUCGUAACUUCGGGAGAAGAGGAGCCCUUGUGUGUGAGUAUACAUGCGAUACAAAGCGCACGAGGGUCGCAGUGAAGAGGCUCAAGCAACUGUUUAACAAAAACACAGGUCUAUGCUAAGCUGUAAGGCGAUGUAUAUGGGCUGACACCUGCCCAGUGCUGGAAGGUUAAGAGGAGGAGUGAGAGCUCCGAAUUGAAGCCCCAGUGAACGGCGGCCGUAACUAUAACGGUCCUAAGGUAGCGAAAUUCCUUGUCAGGUAAG